rnacentral:lncRNA from 1 species
ACGCGCCCAAGCCGAGCCGGGCGGCUCCUCCGCCCCCGCCCCCCGCGCGCCCGCCGCCCGGGCGGAGGAGAGGAGCGCGCGGCCGCGCAGAGCAAGCUGAGCCGAGCCGAGCCGAGCUGGGGGCGCAGAGCGCGGGAGGCGGCGGCGGCGCGGAGCUAAUACACUGGGGUCAGUCUUCUAUGCUGUACUUCAUAGGCAAUGGGAAUGGUUCACAGGAGGCACUUAUUGAAGAACUUUUAAUGAAACGGAUGGAGCCAACUACCAGCUACUGAAAGACAGGCAUCGUAGCCUGGGGGUGGUGGGGGGCUGAGUGUUGCGCCCUCAAAUAAGCCCAUGAAGGACCCACAUCUUGCCUCCAGCUCUAAUCCCUUUCAAAUUUGAGCCUGGAUGAUUUUUUUUUUAAAGCUAAGCCCAAAAAUGUAGUAUUCAUGGGAAUAACUCAUUUUUAAAUACAACAAAAUUUUCAUUGUGGUAAAGACACGUAACAAAAUUUACCAUCUUAACCAUUUUUAAGUCUGUAGUGUAAGUACGGACUUAAGUACAGUGUUAAGUAUAUUCACAUCGUUGUGAGGCAAUCUUGAAUAAUGAUUUGUUUUUGACUGACUGCUAUUAUUCAAUACUCACCAUGUACUAGGUUAUAGGAUGUGAAAGUGAGACUCAGUGCCUGGUUUCAAAGAACUGUGUGGAAAGGGAAGACACAUGUGCACAGACACAGAACUGAUACCACCACGCAGAGCAGAAGCUGCAUGAGGGCUAUUGCAAUAUAUGGCAAGAUUUUAAUGGGUGGAAAAAAAAUCACUGGCAUGGGCUGUUCAGAAAAGUCUUCCUGGGAGAGGGAAGUGUCAGACUGAUGCUGUUCAGUGAGUAGACUCAGCUCAGCAAAGAGAAAAGGAAAAGCAACCAGCUGGUUGCUAAGCAGAUCAGACUUGGCCUGAAAUGGUCAGUCUUCUUACUGGAUUAGUCCAACUGAAAUUUCAGAACCAAAAUUAUUGAGUUUGUGAGUUGGGGGUGGGAACCACUAAUCAUCAAUGGUUCCCCCCAUUCUACAACAUACUGAUGCACUAUGGUAUCUUCCAAUAAAUAUUCAUUUCUUUCUCUCCUCGAGUUAAAGGAGUGCAAGGGCUUUGUUUUAUUUUUUAAAUUUUUACUUUCUUUUUUGAGACAAGGUCUCACUCUGUCACCCAAGCUGNNNNNNNNNNNNNNNNNNNNNNNNNNNNNNNUGCCUCCCAAGCUCAAGCAAUCCUCCCACCUCAGCCUCCCUAGUACUGGGACCACAGGCGUGUGCCACACCACCCGACUAAUUUUUAAAUAUUUUGUAGAGGCAGGGUCCCACUGUGUUGCCCAGGCUGGUCUUGAACUCCUGGAUCCAAGUGAUCCUCCCACCUCGGCCUCCCAAAGUGUUGGAAUUACAAGUAUGUGCCACCCCACCUGGCCAGCUUUGUUUAAAUACUCCACAAGAAACUUCCAUUGCACAGCUAAGUAAACUGAUAAUUAGCUUGCUCAAGAUUACAAAGAUUGGAAAUAGGGAAGCGGUUUGCAAACUUAAGACUAUCUCUAGAGCCCAUCUUUUUCUAAUCAGUGGUUCCUCCCAGUCUAUGGCAUGCUGAUGCAAAUCAUGGAAAAAUUCACACUAAACUCUGCUUUCAGUAUCAGGGUCCAAAUACCACCUUAAGUCAACCUGACCUGUCUUUAUCAGCUGCUUACUAAACACUCUCUGCAGAACUGUACUCUUAAAAAGCACUGAAGUAUUUGUGCAUUUCCUAAAU